rnacentral:lncRNA from 1 species
CAUGCGUGAGGAUGACGCCGCAUCCUUGUUAAUUUCAGGCCAGGUCAAAAGCAGUCGUGCCCCGGCAGGGGACUCCAAUGCUGGUGCAGCUGUCCCGGCCCUCUUCCCGGAACAUUCCAUCUCCCUUGUAAUAUUGAGCUCCCACCUCUGAGGAAGGCCCCCAUUCUUUGGGAUUGUCUGUUUCAACCCCAUUGGCAAAGCAAUCCCCCAAAUCCACCCCAUCCUGAACCUCGAGGACUCUUUAGAGGUCUACUCACUCCAUUGUGAUUUUGACCCCGUUCUUUCUUCCUUGAGUCCAGCCACUGUGUCAGCCGUCCUCUGGGAGAAAGGCUGAGGGCGGAGGAGAAAGUCCGAGUAGGAGUUCUGGGGUUCUCCCGACUUCCGGCCCGUCCGCAGAUGUCACUGAAAGGAUCUUGGAGGUGACGUGUGAGCUUAAGGAACCCAAACUAGCCUGUGUUCUUAGCAAAUUCUCAGCCUCUCUGGAACCCAGGGAUCACCCCAUCCUGGAUCCUGCACUGCCCAGGCUGCCCCUGUGCCGGCUCCCAGCUGCGUGGGUCUCUGUCCAUCCUCUACUGCCCCAGACUGAAUAUUCUCCCAAAUAACAAAGGUGCCGGGAGCCGCUGUCAUCACCUUCCCUCUGGACUGAGGCUCGUCUGAGCAAAACUGGGACACCGUCACGUUGGUCUAGAGCCCUGCCCCUCCCCUGGUCUCGCCUUCUACACACACGGUCCCCUGCACCCAGUGCCCUCCCUUGGCUAGCAAGCCUCCGGUGACCUCGGGCUCUGCUUCUGCGUGCGUGCUGGCAGCUCGGUGUUAGAAUGAGGCCACACGGCGGAAUUUCAGGUGUCAUUGAGCAGGUGCGAAACGUAUUAUUUGGGACAGGAGAGCUUCUUGAUGCCCUUGACAUCGCAAAAUGAAGUCGCAAGAUCACUCAGUCUGUAUGUACAGACGAUCUUUUUUUUUUGUUUGCGAAUGAGAUACAGCGGUAACGUCUCUCCAAUCUGAAGGCAAAGAUCCAAUCCCCACCUAAUUCUCAAGAGGUCUGCACAGGGCU